rnacentral:rRNA from 1 species
AUACGAAGGGUGCUAGCGUUGUUCGGAAUUACUGGGCGUAAAGAGCAUGUAGGCGGAUAGAUUAGUCAGAGGUGAAAGCCCCGAGCUCAACUCGGGAACUGCCUUUGAUACUGUUUAUCUAGAGACCGAGAGAGGUGAGUGGAAUUCUCAGUGUAGAGGUGAAAUUCGUAGAUAUUGGGAAGAACACCAGUGGCGAGGGCGGCUCACUGGCUCGGAACUGACGCUGAGAUGCGAAAGCGUGGGGAGCGAACAGGAUUAGAAACCCCAGUAGUCC